GAGAGUUUGAUCCUGGCUCAGGACGAACGCUGGCGGCGUGCCUAAUACAUGCAAGUCGAGCGGACUUGAUGGAGAGCUUGCUCUCCAGAGAGUUAGCGGCGGACGGGUGAGUAACACGUAGGCAACCUGCCUGUAAGACGGGAUAACUAGCGGAAACGUUAGCUAAUACCGGAUAAUUUAUAUUCUCCAUGGGGAGAUAAUGAAAGACGAGCAAUCUGUCACUUACGGAUGGGCCUGCGGCGCAUUAGCUAGUUGGUGGGGUAAUGGCUCACCAAGGCGACGAUGCGUAGCCGACCUGAGAGGGUGAACGGCCACACUGGGACUGAGACACGGCCCAGACUCCUACGGGAGGCAGCAGUAGGGAAUCUUCCGCAAUGGACGAAAGUCUGACGGAGCAACGCCGCGUGAGUGAUGAAGGUUUUCGGAUCGUAAAGUCUGUUGCCAGGGAAGAACGUCCGUUAGAGUAACUGCUAACGGAGUGACGGUACCUGAGAAGAAAGCCCCGGCUAACUACGUGCCAGCAGCCGCGGUAAUACGUAGGGGCAAGCGUUGUCCGGAAUUAUUGGGCGUAAAGCGCGCGCAGGCGGCUA
rnacentral:rRNA from 1 species